CUGUUCCUGCCAAUGGAAAUGGUGGAGCUGCUGCUUAGAAUGUUGUCAAGGUUGAUUCGAAGCCAAAGACUAAGCCUGCAGAAGUGAAGCCUGAAUCUGACGAGGAAGACGAGUUUGAUAACGAUGAUGACUCUGAGAAAGGAAUGGAUGUUGAUGAAGAUGACUCGGAUGAUACGAAGAGGACUCUGAGGAUGAAGAGUAGGAGGAGACUCCCAAGAAGCCUGAGCCAAUCAACAAGAAGAGGCCAAAUGAAUCUGCAUCCAAAACACCUGUCUCGGGAAAGAAGGCAAAACAGGCAGCAGCUACUCCUCAGAAGACAGAAGAGAAGAAGAAAGGAGGACUUACAGCCACACCGCACCCAGCUAAAAAGGGUGGAAAGUCUCUCCUGUGAAUGCUAGCCAGAGCCCCAAGUCUGGAUGUCAAUCAUUUGGUGGUAACAAC